rnacentral:rRNA from 1 species
GUGGGGAAUCUUGUGCAAUGGGCGAAAGCCUGACGCAGCCAUGCCGCGUGAAUGAUGAAGGUCUUAGGAUUGUAAAAUUCUUUCACCGGGGACGAUAAUGACGGUACCCGGAGAAGAAGCUCCGGCUAACUUCGUGCCAGCAGCCGCGGUAAUACGAAGGGGGCUAGCGUUGCUCGGAAUUACUGGGCGUAAAGGGCGCGUAGGCGGACAGCUUAGUCAGAGGUGAAAGCCCAGGGCUCAACCUUGGAAUUGCCUUUGAUACUGGCUGUCUUGAGUUUGGGAGAGGUGAGUGGAACUCCGAGUGUAGAGGUGAAAUUCGUAGAUAUUCGGAAGAACACCAGUGGCGAAGGCGACUCACUGGCCCAAUACUGACGCUGAGGCGCGAAAGCGUGGGGAGCAAACAGGAUUAGAUACCCGGGUAGUCC